rnacentral:rRNA from 1 species
CCUACGGGGGGCAGCAGUGAGGAAUAUUGGUCAAUGGACGAGAGUCUGAACCAGCCAAGUAGCGUGAAGGAUGACUGCCCUAUGGGUUGUAAACUUCUUUUAUAUGGGAAUAAAAUGUUCCACGUGUGGGAUUUUGUAUGUACCAUAUGAAUAAGGAUCGGCUAACUCCGUGCCAGCAGCCGCGGUAAUACGGAGGAUCCGAGCGUUAUCCGGAUUUAUUGGGUUUAAAGGGAGCGUAGGUGGAUUGUUAAGUCAGUUGUGAAAGUUUGCGGCUCAACCGUAAAAUUGCAGUUGAAACUGGCAGUCUUGAGUACAGUAGAGGUGGGCGGAAUUCGUGGUGUAGCGGUGAAAUGCUUAGAUAUCACGAAGAACUCCGAUUGCGAAGGCAGUUCACUGGACUGCAACUGACACUGAGGCUCGAAAGUGUGGGUAUCAAACAGGAUUAGAUACCCCUGAAGUC